AGUGGCGGACGGGUGAGUAACGCGUGGGUAACCUGCCUUAUACAGGGGGAUAACAGUCAGAAAUGACUGCUAAUACCGCAUAAGCGCACAGAGCUGCAUGGCUCGGUGUGAAAAACUCCGGUGGUAUAAGAUGGACCCGCGUUGGAUUAGCUAGUUGGUGAGGUAACGGCCCACCAAGGCGACGAUCGGUAGCCGGACUGAGAGGUUGAACGGCCACAUUGGGACUGAGACACGGCCCAGACUCCUACGGGAGGCAGCAGUGGGGAAUAUUGCACAAUGGGGGAAACCCUGAUGCAGCGACGCCGCGUGGAGGAAGAAGGUCUUCGGAUUGUAAACUCCUGUUGUUGAGGAAGAUAAUGACGGUACUCAACAAGGAAGUGACGGCUAACUACGUGCCAGCAGCCGCGGUAAAACGUAGGUCACAAGCGUUGUCCGGAAUUACUGGGUGUAAAGGGAGCGCAGGCGGGAGAACAAGUUGGAAGUGAAAUCCAUGGGCUCAACCCAUGAACUGCUUUCAAAACUGUUUUUCUUGAGUAGUGCAGAGGUAGGCGGAAUUCCCGGUGUAGCGGUGGAAUGCGUAGAUAUCGGGAGGAACACCAGUGGCGAAGGCGGCCUACUGGGCACCAACUGACGCUGAGGCUCGAAAGUGUGGGUAGCAAACAGGAUUAGAUACCCUGGUAGUCCACACCGUAAACGAUGAUUACUAGGUGUUGGAGGAUUGACCCCUUCAGUGCCGCAGUUAACACAAUAAGUAAUCCACCUGGGGAGUACGACCGCAAGGUUGAAACUCAAAGGAAUUGACGGGGGCCCGCACAAGCAGUGGAGUAUGUGGUUUAAUUCGACGCAACGCGAAGAACCUUACCAAGUCUUGACAUCCCUUGACGAUGCUGGAAACAGUAUUUCUCUACGGAGCAUCGGUGACAGGUGGUGCAUGGUUGUCGUCAGCUCGUGUCGUGAGAUGUUGGGUUAAGUCCCGCAACGAGCGCAACCCUUGUCGUCAGUUACUAACAUUCAGUUGAGGACUCUGGCGAGACUGCCGAGGUUAACUCGGAGGAAGGUGGGGAUGACGUCAAAUCAUCAUGCCCCUUAUGAUCUGGGCGACACACGUGCUACAAUGGCGGUCACAGAGUGAGGCGAACCCGCGAGGGGGAGCAAACCACAAAAAGGCCGUCCCAGUUCGGACUGUAGUCUGCAACCCGACUACACGAAGCUGGAAUCGCUAGUAAUCGCGAAUCAGAAUGUCGCGGUGAAUACGUUCCCGGGUCUUGCACUCACCGCCCGUCA
rnacentral:rRNA from 1 species